rnacentral:rRNA from 1 species
UUAAGUUAUUAAGGGCGCACGGUGGAUGCCUUGGCACUAGAAGCCGAUGAAGGACGUUACUAACGACGACAUGCUUUGGGGAGCUGUAAGUAAGCUUUGAUCCAGAGAUUUCCGAAUGGGGAAACCCAGCAUGAGUUAUGUCAUGUUAUCGAUAUGUGAAUACAUAGCAUAUCAGAAGGCACACCCGGAGAACUGAAACAUCUUAGUACCCGGAGGAAGAGAAAGAAAAUUCGAUUCCCUUAGUAGCGGCGAGCGAAACGGGAAGAGCCCAAACCAACAAGCUUGCUUGUUGGGGUUGUAGGACACUCUAUACGGAGUUACAAAGGACGACAUUAGACGAAUCAUCUGGAAAGAUGAAUCAAAGAAGGUAAUAAUCCUGUAGUCGAAAAUGUUGUCUCUCUUGAGUGGAUCCUGAGUACGACGGAGCACGUGAAAUUCCGUCGGAAUCUGGGAGGACCAUCUCCUAAGGCUAAAUACUCUCUAGUGACCGAUAGUGAACCAGUACCGUGAGGGAAAGGUGAAAAGCACCCCGGAAGGGGAGUGAAAUAGAACCUGAAACCGUGUGCUUACAAGUAGUCAGAGCCCGUUAAUGGGUGAUGGCGUGCCUUUUGUAGAAUGAACCGGCGAGUUACGAUUUGAUGCAAGGUUAAGCAGUAAAUGUGGAGCCGUAGCGAAAGCGAGUCUGAAUAGGGCGUUUAGUAUUUGGUCGUAGACCCGAAACCAGGUGAUCUACCCUUGGUCAGGUUGAAGUUCAGGUAACACUGAAUGGAGGACCGAACCGACUUACGUUGAAAAGUGAGCGGAUGAACUGAGGGUAGCGGAGAAAUUCCAAUCGAACCUGGAGAUAGCUGGUUCUCUCCGAAAUAGCUUUAGGGCUAGCCUCAAGUGAUGAUUAUUGGAGGUAGAGCACUGUUUGGACGAGGGGCCCCUCUCGGGUUACCGAAUUCAGACAAACUCCGAAUGCCAAUUAAUUUAACUUGGGAGUCAGAACAUGGGUGAUAAGGUCCGUGUUCGAAAGGGAAACAGCCCAGACCACCAGCUAAGGUCCCAAAAUAUAUGUUAAGUGGAAAAGGAUGUGGCGUUGCCCAGACAACUAGGAUGUUGGCUUAGAAGCAGCCAUCAUUUAAAGAGUGCGUAAUAGCUCACUAGUCGAGUGACACUGCGCCGAAAAUGUACCGGGGCUAAACAUAUUACCGAAGCUGUGGAUUGUCCUUUGGACAAUGGUAGGAGAGCGUUCUAAGGGCGUUGAAGCAUGAUCGUAAGGACAUGUGGAGCGCUUAGAAGUGAGAAUGCCGGUGUGAGUAGCGAAAGACGGGUGAGAAUCCCGUCCACCGAUUGACUAAGGUUUCCAGAGGAAGGCUCGUCCGCUCUGGGUUAGUCGGGUCCUAAGCUGAGGCCGACAGGCGUAGGCGAUGGAUAACAGGUUGAUAUUCCUGUACCACCUAUAAUCGUUUUAAUCGAUGGGGGGACGCAGUAGGAUAGGCGAAGCGUGCGAUUGGAUUGCACGUCUAAGCAGUAAGGCUGAGUAUUAGGCAAAUCCGGUACUCGUUAAGGCUGAGCUGUGAUGGGGAGAAGACAUUGUGUCUUCGAGUCGUUGAUUUCACACUGCCGAGAAAAGCCUCUAGAUAGAAAAUAGGUGCCCGUACCGCAAACCGACACAGGUAGUCAAGAUGAGAAUUCUAAGGUGAGCGAGCGAACUCUCGUUAAGGAACUCGGCAAAAUGACCCCGUAACUUCGGGAGAAGGGGUGCUCUUUAGGGUUAACGCCCAGAAGAGCCGCAGUGAAUAGGCCCAAGCGACUGUUUAUCAAAAACACAGGUCUCUGCUAAACCGUAAGGUGAUGUAUAGGGGCUGACGCCUGCCCGGUGCUGGAAGGUUAAGAGGAGUGGUUAGCUUCUGCGAAGCUACGAAUCGAAGCCCCAGUAAACGGCGGCCGUAACUAUAACGGUCCUAAGGUAGCGAAAUUCCUUGUCGGGUAAGUUCCGACCCGCACGAAAGGCGUAACGAUUUGGGCACUGUCUCAACGAGAGACUCGGUGAAAUCAUAGUACCUGUGAAGAUGCAGGUUACCCGCGACAGGACGGAAAGACCCCGUGGAGCUUUACUGUAGCCUGAUAUUGAAAUUCGGCACAGCUUGUACAGGAUAGGUAGGAGCCUUUGAAACGUGAGCGCUAGCUUACGUGGAGGCGCUGGUGGGAUACUACCCUAGCUGUGUUGGCUUUCUAACCCGCACCACUUAUCGUGGUGGGAGACAGUGUCAGGCGGGCAGUUUGACUGGGGCGGUCGCCUCCUAAAAGGUAACGGAGGCGCUCAAAGGUUCCCUCAGAAUGGUUGGAAAUCAUUCAUAGAGUGUAAAGGCAUAAGGGAGCUUGACUGCGAGACCUACAAGUCGAGCAGGGUCGAAAGACGGACUUAGUGAUCCGGUGGUUCCGCAUGGAAGGGCCAUCGCUCAACGGAUAAAAGCUACCCCGGGGAUAACAGGCUUAUCUCCCCCAAGAGUUCACAUCGACGGGGAGGUUUGGCACCUCGAUGUCGGCUCAUCGCAUCCUGGGGCUGUAGUCGGUCCCAAGGGUUGGGCUGUUCGCCCAUUAAAGCGGUACGCGAGCUGGGUUCAGAACGUCGUGAGACAGUUCGGUCCCUAUCCGUCGUGGGCGUAGGAAAUUUGAGAGGAGCUGUCCUUAGUACGAGAGGACCGGGAUGGACAUACCUCUGGUGUACCAGUUGUCGUGCCAACGGCAUAGCUGGGUAGCUAUGUGUGGACGGGAUAAGUGCUGAAAGCAUCUAAGCAUGAAGCCCCCCUCAAGAUGAGAUUUCCCAACUUCGGUUAUAAGAUCCCUCAAAGAUGAUGAGGUUAAUAGGUUCGAGGUGGAAGCAUGGUGACAUGUGGAGCUGACGAAUACUAAUCGAUCGAAGACUUAAUCAA